rnacentral:lncRNA from 1 species
AGUCACCAUAUUCCAUCAAAAUGAACAAAUCCAUCAUCCUUGUCCUGGUCCCAUGCCUUGUUGCUUUCGUCAUGGCCCAGCAGUACGGAUACCAAUCCGGAUACCAGUCAGGAUACCCAGCUUACUACGGGAAUCAACUUAACGCUUAUACACAACAGACCAGACUAUACAACUAUGGAAACGCUGCCACAGCUCAACUCAAAGGAGCCA